AUACGUAGGGAGCAAGCGUUGUCCGGAAUUACUGGGCGUAAAGGGUGCGUAGGUGGCCAUGCAAGUCAGAUGUGAAAUCCCCGGGCUUAACUCGGGGGGUGCAUUUGAAACUGCGUGGCUUGAGUGCAGGAGAGGAAAGCGGAAUUCCUAGUGUAGCGGUGAAAUGCGUAGAUAUUAGGAGGAACACCAGUGGCGAAGGCGGCUUUCUGGACUGUAACUGACACUGAGGCACGAAAGCGUGGGGAGC
rnacentral:rRNA from 1 species